rnacentral:misc_RNA from 1 species
AACGCACAUUGCGCUCUCUGGUAUUCCGGAGAGCAUGCUUGUUUGAGUAUCAGUAAAACACCCUCAGCUCCCCCGCUUCUUAGGAAGAGAGGAGGCUGGACUUGAGAGAUCCCAACGGCAGUGAGAACUGCUGGCGGGUCACUUGAAAUGCAGGUGCGGCUGGACGCAUCUUCUGAGCUAUAAGCAUUACUUAUUUAGUCCCGUAAAACGGAUUAUAUCUAUUGCUGCAGCUAACAUAAAGGUCGAUUGUUCUUGUGCCCGACUGAUGCAGGAAAAUGAAGGCGUCUAAUAGCGUCCUUUGUUCAACUCGAUCUCAAAUCAAGCAAGACUACCCGCUGAACUUAA